CACGUAGGGUGCGAGCGUUGUCCGGAAUUAUUGGGCGUAAAGAGCUCGUAGGCGGUGUGUCGCGUCGGCCGUGAAAACCUGCAGCUUAACUGUGGGCGUGCGGUCGAUACGGGCAUCACUGGAGUUCGGCAGGGGAGAAUGGAAUUCCCGGUGUAGCGGUGAAAUGCGCAGAUAUCGGGAAGAACACCCGUGGCGAAGGCGGUUCUCUGGGCCAUAACUGACGCUGAGAAGCGAAAGCAUGGGGAGCGAACGGG
rnacentral:rRNA from 1 species